rnacentral:rRNA from 1 species
UACGAGGGGAGCAAGCGUUGUUCGGAAUCAUUGGGCGUAAAGGGCGCGUAGGCGGUCUGGCAAGUCUAAGGUGAAAUCCCUCGGCUCAACCGAGGAACUGCCUUGGAAACUGCCGGACUUGAGUUCCGGAGAGGAAAGCAGAAUUCCCAGUGUAGCGGUGAAAUGCGUAGAUAUUGGGAGGAAUACCGGUGGCGAAGGCGGCUUUCUGGACGGAAACUGACGCUGAGGCGCGAAAGCUAGGGGAGCAAACGGG